rnacentral:lncRNA from 1 species
UCUCCAAUAGAAUGUUCAACAGUGACUCUGUAUUCUUUGAUUAAAUUAUUAAUUUUGCGACACCUCCUUUUUAAAUUGUCCGGUUUUCGCUGUAUUUGCUGGUGUGUAUAGGGUGUCAUAAGAGGAUAUCUAUUAGGAUAUAUUUUAUCUGCAAGUAAAACAAUUCCUUCAGGAAAGUCAAGCUCCGCAUUUCUACCAAUU